rnacentral:rRNA from 1 species
GUACAGAGGGCUGCAAACCCGCGAGGGGGAGCUAAUCUCACAAAACGCAUCGUAGUCCGGAUCGGAGUCUGCAACUCGACUCCGUGAAGUCGGAAUCGCUAGUAAUCGCGGAUCAGAAUGCCGCGGUGAAUACGUUCCCGGGCCUUGUACACACCGCCCGUCACACCAUGGGAGUUGGGUUUACCCGAAGGCAGUGCGCUAACCGCAAGGGGGCAGCUGACCACGGUAGGCUCAGCGACUGGGGUGAAGUCGUAACAAGGUAGCCCUAGGGGAACCUGCGGCUGGAUCACCUCCUU